GUGCCCGCUUCAGCAGCACAUAUACUAAAAUUGGAACGGUACAGAGAUGAGCACGGCCCCUGUGCAAGGCUGACAUUCAAACUCAUGAGGCGUUCCAUAUUUUU
rnacentral:snRNA from 1 species